rnacentral:rRNA from 1 species
CCUACGGGAGGCAGCAGUGAGGAAUAUUGGUCAAUGGACGAGAGUCUGAACCAGCCAAGUAGCGUGAAGGAUGACUGCCCUAUGGGUUGUAAACUUCUUUUAUAUGGGAAUAAAAUGUUCCACGUGUGGGAUUUUGUAUGUACCAUAUGAAUAAGGAUCGGCUAACUCCGUGCCAGCAGCCGCGGUAAUACGGAGGAUCCGAGCGUUAUCCGGAUUUAUUGGGUUUAAAGGGAGCGUAGGUGGAUUGUUAAGUCAGUUGUGAAAGUUUGCGGCUCAACCGUAAAAUUGCAGUUGAAACUGGCAGUCUUGAGUACAGUAGAGGUGGGCGGAAUUCGUGGUGUAGCGGUGAAAUGCUUAGAUAUCACGAAGAACUCCGAUUGCGAAGGCAGUUCACUGGACUGCAACUGACACUGAGGCUCGAAAGUGUGGGUAUCAAACAGGAUUAGAUACCCCUGUAUC